rnacentral:tRNA from 1 species
GUCCUUGUAGCUUACAAAAAGCAUGACACUGAAGAUGUCAAGACGG